AACGCUAGCUACAGGCUUAACACAUGCAAGUCGAGGGGCAGCACGAACUUAGCUUGCUAAGUUUGAUGGCGACCGGCGCACGGGUGAGUAACACGUAUCCAACCUGCCGAUGACUCGGGGAUAGCCUUUCGAAAGAAAGAUUAAUACCCGAUGGCAUAGUUCUUCCGCAUGGUAGAACUAUUAAAGAAUUUCGGUCAUCGAUGGGGAUGCGUUCCAUUAGGUUGUUGGCGGGGUAACGGCCCACCAAGCCUUCGAUGGAUAGGGGUUCUGAGAGGAAGGUCCCCCACAUUGGAACUGAGACACGGUCCAAACUCCUACGGGAGGCAGCAGUGAGGAAUAUUGGUCAAUGGACGAGAGUCUGAACCAGCCAAGUAGCGUGAAGGAUGACUGCCCUAUGGGUUGUAAACUUCUUUUAUACGGGAAUAAAGUGAGGCACGUGUGCCUUUUUGUAUGUACCGUAUGAAUAAGGAUCGGCUAACUCCGUGCCAGCAGCCGCGGUAAUACGGAGGAUCCGAGCGUUAUCCGGAUUUAUUGGGUUUAAAGGGAGCGUAGGCGGACGCUUAAGUCAGUUGUGAAAGUUUGCGGCUCAACCGUAAAAUUGCAGUUGAUACUGGGUGUCUUGAGUACAGUAGAGGCAGGCGGAAUUCGUGGUGUAGCGGUGAAAUGCUUAGAUAUCACGAAGAACUCCGAUUG
rnacentral:rRNA from 1 species